UACGGAAGGCAGCAGGGGGAAUAUUGCACAAUGGGCGAAAGCCUGAUGCAGCUAUGCCGCGUGUAUGAAGAAGGCCUUAGGGUUGUAAAGUACUUUCAUCGGGGAGGAAAAAACAAAACUAAUAAUUUUAUUUCUUGACGUUACCCGAAAAAGAAGCACCGGCUAACUCCGUGCCAGCAGCCGCGGUAAUACGGAGGGUGCUAGCGUUAAUCAGAAUUACUGGGCGUAAAGAGCACGUAGGUGGUUUUUUUAAGUCAGAUGUGAAAUCCCUGGGCUUAACCUGGAACUGCAUUUUGAAACUGAAAUACUAGAGUAUCGUAGAGGGAGGUAGAAUUCUAGGUGUAGCGGUGAAAUGCGUAGAUAUCUGGAGGAAUACCUGUGGCGAAAGCGGCCUCCUAAACGAAUACUGACACUGAGGGUGCGAAAGCGUGGGGAGCAAACGAGGGAUUAGAUACCCGU
rnacentral:rRNA from 1 species